AUUCUGAAAUCUAAUUAAAGAAUCGCCUUUUGUUCCGAUCAGAAAGUAGACCUACUGUAGACUGAAUGUUUGAGAUGAACAAAUGAAAACCUUUACCCGUUCUGGUUUGAAAAAGCUAUGGGGAUGUUCCUUGGGUGUGGAGCAGUGCUGAAUGUGGCUGUCCUUCCCACAGAAAGCGCAGCCUGAUCCCAUGCCAGUGGGGUAUAUGAGGACCCAGUGGGACUAGCAGUGGGUGGAUGCAGGAGGCAUGUUUUCAUCCAGCACCGCUCUCCUGAUGCCCUCCUGAGAGGUGAUCCCUGCUGAGGAGAGAGGGCUGUGAAACCCAGUCUUAACUCUGCCCCUUUGGCCAAGGUCCUGGUGGGCAGUGGUGGUUCCUCUCCCUAUCAGCACACUGCAUGGUAAAUAGAAAUGGUAAAUGCUCCAUCCCUGGCAGUGUUCAAGGCCAGGUUGGACAGAGCCUUCAACAACAUGGUCUAGACUGAGGUGUCCCUGCCCAUGGCAGGGGGGGUUGGAACUGGAUGAUUUUAAGGUGCUUUCCAACACUAAUCAUUCUGUGAUUCUAUGGCCUCCCCCUCUGCUGCUGCAGCUCUGCUUUGUGCUCUGCAAUAUCCAGUAGCAGCGUCCAUGGAAACCACUGCUGACAGUGACUUGCAAAGAAUUUGUUAAUUAAAAGAUGUUUAAAUUUUAAUAAAGUUGGUAUCUUCAAUCCAACCAGGAUAUUGCAAAGAGUAUCCCACUCUGCCAUCACUCUCCAAAACUGAAAUGCAGCUGGAAAGGAAGUGCCCCUUCGCACCCAGUUCUCAUCGUCUGUUAUCUUAGCACACUGUCAGGAGACAUAUAUACAUAUAUUAGUAUUAAAGUUUCUAUAGCUGCAGCAAUGAGGGCUUGACCCAACCCUGUGACCACCCAUAAACUCUGUUAUCUGUCCCCCAGUUUAGCACAGGGCAAGGCAGUACAAGUGCAGGGUUUGUCCUAGGCCUUGGUGGAGGAGUUUCUGCAAUGGAGCCAUGCCCAAGAGCAUAAAGAAACAAAACACAGUAGCCGGGAAAACAGCAGAAUCACUUCAAAAUGGACAUGAAAGAAAAGAUUAGGCUAACUUCUUGCAGACUGAAGGGACAUAAAAGGCUAAAAUCUCAUUAGAAACUUGUGAGUGAUUGAGCUGAGGAGGUGAUACCUGUGCUGGAUCUGGGGGAAGUCUCGCAGGAAGUAACAGAAACUGUCUUUGUGUUAGAGGGCUGGAUCCAUGGUAUGUGUGAAACUGAACAUCGUUUGCUGCCUUUGCAUGCAGGAGUCACACAGUGCAGGAGGGUUGUGAACCUGAGAAGUUAGCAGUCUUUGCAAAAAACAGCUCUAAGUGUCACUUAACCAGCACCUAGAUGUUACAAUUUAAGAGAAGAUGAUGUUCUCACUAUGUGGAACAAAACAGAGAAAAAAGUAGAAGCUGUGGUAGAAUUGAUGCAGUUUUAAUGUUGGCCUCUGGCUGAUCACUCACUUCCUUAGGGCAGCUGUAAGGUUAUGGGAGAACCUGGGAGUAGAGGGGCAGAAAUAUCACCCUCGCUUCCAGUGGGGUCCAUGAGAUGCGAGACUCCAUGUAAAGGCUGAGGAAAGGGUAUUUGGCAUUAUUAUGGAUACAAAGGCAGGGAGUUCAACCCUUGCUGUUUCAAGUCUUUAUUAAUGUUUUUGGGCAGUUUCUCUUUCUAUCAAUGAGCAGGCUGUGAGUAGUCCUUGUUAGUGUAAAGUACUCUGGUAGCUGAUACUCAGGCUUGAGAGAUUAAACAUGUGGUAUGCAGAAUAAGGAGAAUUAAUUCAUUGGUGUUUUCUGUUCAGUGAGAAAGGGUAAACAACCUGGACACUGAAAAUUGCAGUGGGUGUUUUUAUAUUUGUUUCCCAUAUGAAAUAAAGGCUGUAUUUAAACUUUUCCAAAGCAAAUAUUAUGCUACUAUGAGGUGAAAAUUUCUCAAAUUCUUAUCCCUGUUCUUUCAUUCUAAUUCUUAUCACAAACUGAUCUUUUCUCCCAGCAGAAAUAAUUGACCUAUAACAAAUCCUCAUCUUGAUUUCAUUGGCUUGUAUCUCGGACAGCACAAGAGGCAUUCUGUAAUGGUUCAAAAUAUCCCUACUGGAUAAUCAUUGCCACUGGAUGAAGGAUUUGCAGGACUAAAUCGUAACGCAUGUGAAUAGCGUCACCAAAGUCAGCUCUCUGGCCCUUAUUCCUGGAUAAGAUCCUAGAUAACUUCGUUCUUUCAGUGACUACUGCUAGACAGAUGCAUCCUGUUGUGAUAAAGGAUACCAGCUGGAUUUAGGACUGUGGCUUCACAUUUGUGGUAUGACUGACCAUAUGUGAUGCUCUGUCAAGUUUGCAGCUUUAAUGGGAAAUCGCUGAAGUACUUGCAUUUUGAUUCAUCUUUUUCAUUGGCUUGGUAACAAAAGAGGGGAUGGCUUUAUGCACCUGGCUUGCACUGACAUACGUUGCAGUGUGGUCUCUGCAGAGGAAAGGGAAGCUCUUGCAUACUUACCCUUAAGAGUUGCUUUGGGAUUGCUUUUGGGGUUUUGGGGUUGGUUUGGGUUCAUUUGUUUGUUUUAGGAAAAAAUAGCUGGGACCAGAAACUACAUUUAAUUGGGGAUAUAAUUUUGAAUUCUUAUGCUGAUCAUGGUUUUUAUCUGGCUUUAACAGAACUUAAUAAUUCUGUUAAUUAUUAUUGUCUUCCUGUCUGCUUUAGGGAAAUGGGUGUCUAUGUAGGUCUGGGAACAGAAGGGAAAAUACUUGUGAAAGAAGCGUAACAGACAGCAGACAGAACCUGGAGGAUCUGAGGUCUGUUUUUUUUCCUAAGAAGGAGCACUAUCAGACCCCAGUAGACUUUUCUGGUAUUUCUGAUCUCAGUGUAAUUUGAAAGUGUAUAAAGGAUGUGUUUUCCAUCAUUUUAACCAUGUAAGGCUCAAACAUGUCUAAUUCCCUUUGCUAAAAAUAUUGUAUUUGU